rnacentral:rRNA from 1 species
GUGUCAGCCGCCGCGGUAACACGUAGGAGACGAGCGUUAUCCGGAUUUAUUGGGCGUAAAGAGCAUGUAGGCGGGCUCUUAAGUCGGAUGUGAAAUCUCUUGGCUUAACCGGGAGGGGUCAUUCGAUACUGGGAGUCUUGAGGGCAGGAGAGGGAAGUAGAAUUCCCGGUGUAGUGGUGGAAUACGUAGAUAUCGGGAGGAAUACCAGUGGCGAAAGCGGCUUCCUGGCCUGUGCCUGACGCUGAGAUGCGAAAGCGUGGGUAGCAAACGGGAUUAGAUACCCCUGUAGUCC